rnacentral:rRNA from 1 species
GACGUAGGGCGCGAGCGUUGUCCGGAUUUAUUGGGCGUAAAGAGCUCGUAGGCGGCUUGUCGCGUCGUCCGUGAAAACCUGUGGCUCAACUGCAGGCUUGCGGUCGAUACGGGCAGGCUAGAGUUCGGUAGGGGAGACUGGAAUUCCUGGUGUAGCGGUGAAAUGCGUUGAUAUCCUAAGGAACACCGGUGGCGAAGGCGGCUUACUGGGUCUCUACUGACGCUGAGGCACGAAAGCCAGGGUAGCAAACGGG